rnacentral:rRNA from 1 species
AUUGAACGCUGGCGGCAGGCCUAACACAUGCAAGUCGAGCGAGCGGCGGACGGGUGAGUAAGGAAUGGGGAUCUGCCUGAUGGAGGGGGAUAACUACUGGAAACGGUAGCUAAUAGCGUAUACUAUCAGAUGAGCCAAUGUGGGAUUAGAUUGUAGGUGGGGUAAGGGCUCACCGAGGCGACGAUCCCUAGCUGGUCUGAGAGGAUGAUCAGCCACACUGGGACGGAGACACGGCCCAGACUCCUACGGGAGGCAGUAGUGGGGAAUAUUGCACAAUGGGCGCAAGCCUGAUGCAGCCAUGCCGCGUGUAUGAAGAAGGCCUUCGGGUUGUAAAGUACUUUCAGUCGGGAGGCGUUACCGACAGAAGAAGCACCGGCUAACUCCGUGCCAGCCGCCGCGGUAAUAC